CCCCUGAGACUUGGCGCAUCAGGUUUGUACCCGUGUCUCACUUCAAAGGGGGCGUGCCCCUGAAACGUAGCGCGGCAGGUUUGUACCCGUGUCUCUCUUCAAAGGGGGCGUGCCCCUGAAACGUAGCGCGGCAGGUUUGUACCCGUGUCUCAGUUCAAACGGGGUGCGCUCCUGAAACGUAGCGUGGCAGGUUUGUACCCGUGUCUCACUUCAAAGGGGGCGUGCCCCUGAAACGUAGCGCGGCAGGUUUGUACCCGUGUCCCUCUUCAAAGGGGGCGUGCCCCUGGAACGUAGCGCGGCAGGUUUCUACCCGUGUCUCACUUCAAAAGGUGCGUGCCCCUGAAACGUAGCGCGGCAGGUUUGUACCAGUGUCCCUCUUCAAAUGGGGUGUUUCCCCGAAAUGUAGCGCGGCAGGUUUGUACCCGUGUCUCACUUCAAAGGGGGCGUGUCCCUGAAACGUAGCGUGGCAGGUUUGUACUCGUGUCCCUCUUCAAAGGGGGCGUGUCCCUGAAACGUAGCGCGGCAGGUUUGUACCCGUGUUUCACUUCAAAGGCAGCGUGCCCCUGAAACGUAGCGCAGGUUUGUACCAGUGUCUCACUUCAAAAGGUGCGUGCCCCUGAAUCGUAGCGUGGCAGGUUUGUCCCAGUGUCCCUCUUCAAAGGGGGCGUGCCCCUGAAACGUAGCGUGGCAGGUUUGAACUCGUGUCCCUCUUCAAAGGGGGCGUGCCCCUGAAACGCAGCGCGGCAGGUUUGAACUCGUGUCCCUCUUCAAAGGGGGCGUGCCCCUGAAACGUAGCGCGGCAGGUUUGUACCAGUGUCUCUCUGCAUUCCACCUUGCAUUAUGAAUAACCGCACUCAUAUGUCUGAAUACUGAAUAUAUUGUCAAGAAUUGAAUAAAUACAUGAAGGAUUUAUCAUUCGUAUAAAAGUACGGACAUUAUGCUUUAUUCUACCUGUCUACAAUACUUACGCUUGAUCAUCUGAGUUUAUACAUCUCAAGCACUUUAUCUGGAGUAAUGUAGACAGACAUUGUUUGAGGAGGAAAUUCAGUUUAUUUAAUUACAUUAUUUAUAAUAUUGGGGCCCUCACGUCUGAUUCCCCCCCCCCCUCCCCCGAUCCUGCAUUUUCCCCCUGUCCACUGCUAUAUCUGGGUCUCCACCUAAGCCAUUUGCACACACUAUAGAGGGUCUUUUGACUAGAAAUGUGGUCCAGUAUGAUCGUCCUUCAGGGUAUGAAGUUCUCAGUCUAUACAUUAUUAUUUAUAGAGAAGGCUGAAUUGUCGUCAAUCCUAGGCAGAUAUUUGGGGCUUAUUGGGCUUGUUGGGCCCAGGACAAUUUUGGUAAACAGGCUCUAUGCUUUUCAAGGGGAGGGUGGAUCAGCCAAGGACAUAUACCUGGAGUCAGGCCAUGAGUGGAGGAGUCAGAAUUUGUCAUGCCCCGGCAUCUUCUACCAUCUACUUCUGUAAGUGAUUUCUAAUUUUUGGAAACAAAAAUACUGCAAGUACUAUUUACAAAGUGAUCAAUUAGACCCAUUAGUGCUUGUCUAAAAUGGAACCCCCCCCCCCCACAGUAGACCACUCCCUAUCACUUUUUGGAUAGAUGGGCAUUGUGACCCCCUAGGCCAGUUACUGAUGUUCCACUAUGGAGACGUACCAUACAAGUUAAGGGCAUGAUACCAACCCUCUCCAUAGCACCCCUAGUGGCUGCCUUAUUGAACACACACCCUUUGCAUUUCCUGUUUCUAACAUGUCACCCCCUAUCAGCCUAAGAAACAGCAGAUGGAGCAUAUAGAUUAUUAAUAAACAGGAAAGAAUACUCAAUGCAUAAUAGUCCCAAUGGUGGCAGCUCACAUGGGGGGGGGGGGUCUCUUCCGUCCUCCAUCUUGGAUGAUCUUUUUGCCUCUUCUUCAUUAAUAUGGAUGAUGAAGCAGGUGGCCUUCAGCCACGUCCAGUAAAGUAUUGACAUGGAGAGACCAACAACAUGUCCAGUAGCAUCAACAAGACAAGAGAAUAUAAACAUAGUAGCAAAAAAAAAAAAAAAAAAAGACAGAAAAUAGAUAAAAUAUUGCUCAGCUAGGACUUCCCUGCAGAUUUAGGUAAGUAGCAGUGCAACAAUGCACCAAGAUCACUCGCACAGGUUGGCCUGAGUUACUUGUUACCAGAGACUAUACGGCCGCGAUUGGCCAGACGUCGUCAUUAUUCCAAAAUGAACAGUGCACAGAGCAGUGUCCCGUCAUAGUCUUUAGGAGGUGGAGCCAUGACUUGGCUGUAUCUGAACGUUCCUCCAACAAGGGGUCUGGAAUUUAGGUCAAGUCGAAAGUUGUAUCAAAUGUCUCUUUGCUAAAUAGUAAAAUUCAGUCUCUUGUUCCCUGUUGUCACCAUUUGGAGGCUGGAACUUUAGCAGUUAGAUCGGGUGCCCCUUUAAUACUGUGCUUCAUGAUGUCACUAAACUGAUGACAUCAGCUCCCGAAAUGUCAGGCUCCAUUCACUUGGUUGAACUUGAUGGACGUAUGUCUUUUUUCGACCAUACUAUGGAACUAUAUAACGUUCACACUAAUUAGAAAAGGCACAAUGUGCAUAGAGAUAUUAAAGGGGUACUCCGGUGCUCUAAACAUUUUGUUGAGAACGCUGGAGCCGGAGGCCGUGAUCGUGACGUUACACCACACCCCCUCCAUUCAUGUCUAUGGGAGGGGGCGUGUCGUCCGACACGCCCCCUCCCAUAGACAUGAAUGGAGGGGGCAGGAACCUGGCAUUUGUUUAGAAUUCCCCUAUCCUUUUGAUAGGGGAUAAGAUGUCUAGCAGCGGAGUACCCCUUUAAUGGGGUAUUCUGCUAAUGUAAGCGCGAUUAGAUUGUAGGGUCACAUAGGGAAUGGGCAGUGAGGGGGCUGGGACCCCCCAACAAUGUCCAGAAUAAAUGCACAAAAACGGUGAUUACAGUUUUUAUCGGCAUCUGUCCAUGGUCAUCCUUACCCCUGUGGGGGAACCAGUUACGGUUUGAUGCUUUGGUCACCUCCGGUAGGAUCCAUAUCCGGUAGGAUCCAUAUUCAGUGCUGGUUUUCAGUCACAUUUCUUGCUAGAAUGUAACGUGUCCCAAGAUUGUCUGGAAAUAAAGGAUCAGUCGAGAGAGUUGCUUUAUCCAAUAAGUGCAGGAAGGAUAAAUUAUUCAUGAAGUCUCUUCAUAGCUGCAUUAUGUAGAUACAGGAGGCGCGGCCCCGGAGGACCAUGGGAAGGGAUACCGAUGCUUUGGUGCAGUGGAUCGGGUUUGGUGUCUCAUCGUUGCUGAUUGCCAUUGUUCAGAUUGUUUCGAGGAGCUGAUAUUUGUUCAUGCAGCGCGAUCUUGCCGGAGACGUUAAUAUUAGUCUUCUUUUUUCCUCCCCUCAGAUCGUAACGUUUUUUAGUUUUCCCCGGAGCUGCUCUAGUUUUCUGCAUGUGUGAUAAUUUUGACUACUCUAGUCUGUAUCCAAAUAAUUGCCUGUCUAGAGCUUCAAAAGGAAAAGGAAAGAAAUAAAUAAUUAUCCAGGUCGACGUCAAGUUUCUCUCACGGAAGAGCAAAACGUGCCGCCAGUGGUACAGACACAAUCAAAACACCUGUCUGGGAAGUCAGAACGCGCCGAUCCCCUAUAUGGAGGAGGAAGACAUUUUGUGCUUGGAGCCAUGGCAACGUCUUGGAGACGUGAACCUUCAAAACUCUAAGCCUAAACUUUGGUUGGUUCAUGUUCAGUGGGACCGAUUGCAGCUACCGUAUCGUAUGUGACACAAAACUAUAGGCGGUCAUACAUACAAGACCAUUGUUGGAAAGGGGACUCCCCAAAUCUUUCCUGGUGAGGGAAUCUAAGAUCCAAUGGUUUGCAUUCUUAUGUGUCUGAUCCUUGAUUUCUCAGGAAUUAAGGGGUGCUGAUCUGUUGGCCACUUAUCUCCCUUCAUAGAAAUUAGGGAUGUCCCGGUACCGGACACUGGACAUCUGCACAAGUACUGGUGCAAAUGUCCCCGAUACCUAAUCCAAAACUUUCCGGCAGGUACCACAGAGGUGCAGCCAGCUGCCUGCCCUCUCUGCACUGAUGAACUCCUAGAGGAUGCCGGGCGUAAACUUACGCCCUGCGUCCGGUCCCAAGCUAUGAAGCGCGCCCAGCAGCAUCAUACCCGGGACUUGCAUUAGCCCUUUAGAUGCCACAAUCAAAGUCCUGAGAUUAACUGCCGGUUAGUUCAGGGAUGCUGAUAGGGAUCACCGCGUUGUAAUUGCGGUUUCCCGAUCAGCUGAGAGGAUGGCCGGAGGUCCCUUACUGUGCUCCAUGCCGUCCGAACGCCGCUCCUUUACUGCAGCCAGCCAUAGCAAGCAUUAGUAAAGAAGCGCCGAUAACACUGAUCAAUGCUAUGCUAUGGCAUAGCAUUGAUCAGUGUAUGCAAUACGGAUUGCAUGUAAUAGAGCCCUAUGGGGACUAAAAAAUAGUGAAAAAAUUUGUAAAAAAAAAUUAAUAAUAAAAUGUGAGUUAACCCUAUCCUUAAUAAUAAUUUGAAUCACUCCCUUUUCAAAAAGUUUAAAUAAAAAUUUUUAUAUACUCUGUGUGUAUGUAUAUAUGUGUGUGUGUGUGUGUGUGUGUAUGUAUAUAUGUGUGUGUGUGUGUGUGUGUAUAUAUAUAUAUAUAUAUAUUAGUUUAAUAUAAAAAAGCCCUUUCUGUUAUAAAAACUAAAAUAAAAAAGUUUUCCUCAUUGACAUUGAAAAAAGUAUCGGUAAUUGGUAUCUGUGAGUGCUUAAAAAAAUAAAAGUAUUGGUACUUGUACUU